GACGAACGCUGGCGGCGUGCUUAACACAUGCAAGUCGAACGGAAAGGCCCUGCUUUUGUGGGGUGCUCGAGUGGCGAACGGGUGAGUAACACGUGAGUAACCUGCCCUUGACUUUGGGAUAACUUCAGGAAACUGGGGCUAAUACCGGAGAGGAGCUCCUGCUGCAUGGUGGGGGUUGGAAAGUUUCGGCGGUUGUGGAUGGACUCGCGGCUUAUCAGCUUGUGGGUGGGGUAGUGGCUUACCAGGGCUUUGACGGAUAGCCGGCCUGGGAGGGGGGCCGGCGACAUGGGGACUGAGGGACGGCGCAGACUCCUACGGGAGGCAGCAGUGGGGAGUAUUGCACAGUGGGCGGGAGCCUGUGGCGGCGGCGCCGCGUGCGUGAUGACGGCCUUCGGGUUGUGAACCGCUUUCGCCUGUGACGAAGCGUGAGUGACGGUAAUGGGUAAAGAAGCACCGGCUAACUACGUG
rnacentral:rRNA from 1 species